UCGUGAUUUUUAAAUUAUGCUAGGUUUAAAAUUGGCAUGCGGCUUUUCUUGGCAUUGCCAAGGUCGCUUGUUAGACAAAAGCACUGGUCUUAAGGUACAGCGAUAUGCUAAAACGGCAGACGCUGUUUUGUCUUCUAAGUCAGUUUAGAGCGAAAACGCCUAGCAUAAGUUGCCAAGCAGAACCUCCCACUCACAAAACAGGGUUUGUAGGCAACAGAACAAAGGCUUCGUCUUAACCUGUUUCACUGGUCAAUUUAGAGUCAAUGACUGACUUUUAAAAUCCAUACGCUGAAAGUUAGAUGACUCUUUAUGGCUAUCAAUGUUUGGGAAAUGUUCCAGCCCGUCUUCAGGAGAAACCGGCAUAACUUCUUGUUGGUGAUACGAAAGCGGGGCAUGUUGACUGUUGCAAGACGUUAUCAUGAGAGAACAGCCACCCAAACUACCGAGCAGUUCGGUGCUGUAGGAUCUCAAAUGAAGGAAACUGCUCACGACAGGGAAGACUCGAACAGGAAUAAACUAGCUAUAACAGGAGAUAAGCACUUGCCAGGAGUAAACGAAGAGUCUUUUGAAUGGACCAGAAGUCAUUUGGACAGCAGUAAAGUUCAACAGUGUCGAUGUUUACAUCUUGACGAGGACAAAUCAAGCCCAAACUCUGAUCGAAAGGACUUAACUAAAACAAAAGAAUCACUUUGUGGAAUUUUGUUUUAUUGUUAUGUUUUUUGUUUGUUAUUCUUCGGUUCCAAUGCUCCUGCAGCUUAACUAGAGGGCCAAUGAGGUCCUGAAACAGAUAAACCGUGGAAAAUUAGCCUUGCUACCCCAGGAGGAAUACGGUUGUUCCCUGCAAAGAUAUCAUGUGAUUGCUCUCAAUAUAUGCGCCGCCCCUAGGCUCAUUGUAAAUGUUAUUUUUUGACUGUCACAUACAGAUUUAUAGAUCUUGUUUUAAUAGUACAAAACCGAUUUAUCAGUAUAGAAUAUCCAUUUUUAAACACCGUAUAAACUGAAAACUUCAGUUUUUAAUCUUCUAGGAAAGAAAACGUACAGUUAUCGACCUAGUCAAAACAGUCAGUUGAAUUGAUUGCAUGUGUAGCAACUCAGAGGAUGAACAGAGUGUGUGUGAAAUUCAAUGGCUACAAGUAGUUUUGUGAAAUAUAACAGCAAUGUAGCCUCACUGAGUGAUAAAUUAAGAAUACUUCGCACCUGUUGGAGAUUUUUCGUGAACAAAGAAGCGGAAAAGAGGAGCUUAGAAUAAAAAGUGAAAUGAGCCCAUAUCGCGUGUGUGCUGCGCGCAAUAUUUUCAGAGGUAGACAACCAAACUCCCUGAGAGGAAGCAUCUUAACGUAUCCUAGGUCUUGGACUGUAAAUUAUCUCGUAAAAAUAAAUCACCAUUUGUAAAUAUACACAAAUGAGAAUUAUAGCAGUCUAUAUGAUCUGAGAAGCCGAUAUUAACAAUGGGAAUCCUUAGGCGAAGUAAAAUAACAAAUACAAUACGAUAGGACGUCUACAUUAAAUCGAUAACUGGAAACCGUGAAAAAUUGUUCAGUGGGUAUAAAGAUUUUUAUUGGUCCGGAUUUAAAACUGCAUUUCCAGAACUGAAACUAGUUCUUUCAUCAAUAGCAAAGGGUUACACAUUCCAUAGUUUAGGUCAAAUCAAACACAAGUAAAAGGUUUGUGUUUAGAGUGACAAUAUAUUAAAAUACAAAAAGCUAUCGGCUGUUAGACGAGAAAGAAAAGGGAGUAAUGCGUUCAAGCCUGCAGUGGAAAGCGUCCUUUGAUAUUUUGCCUUCCUUAACCGCUCUUAAUAUUUCAAAUGUUACUAUUGUUAGGA
rnacentral:misc_RNA from 1 species